rnacentral:rRNA from 1 species
GAAUAAGGAUCGGCUAACUCCGUGCCAGCAGCCGCGGUAAUACGGAGGAUCCAAGCGUUAUCCGGAAUCAUUGGGUUUAAAGGGUCCGUAGGUGGAUUAGUAAGUCAGAGGUGAAAUCCUGCAGCUCAACUGUAGAACUGCCUUUGAUACUGCUAGUCUUGAGUCAUUAUGAAGUGGUUAGAAUGUGUAGUGUAGCGGUGAAAUGCAUAGAUAUUACACAGAAUACCGAUUGCGAAGGCAGAUCACUAAUAAUGUACUGACACUGAUGGACGAAAGCGUGGGGAGCGAACAGGAUUAGAUACCCUGGUAG